CCUACGGGAGGCAGCAGUAAGGAAUAUUGGUCAAUGGACGCAAGUCUGAACCAGCCAUGCCGCGUGAAGGAUUAAGGUCCUCUGGAUUGUAAACUUCUUUUAUUUGGGACGAAAAAGGGCCUUUCUAGGUCAACUGACGGUACCAGAUGAAUAAGCACCGGCUAACUCCGUGCCGGCAGCCGCGGUAAUACGGAGGGUGCAAGCGUUAUCCGGAUUCACUGGGUUUAAAGGGUGCGUAGGCGGGUAGGUAAGUCAGUGGUGAAAUCCUAGAGCUUAACUCUAGAACUGCCAUUGAUACUAUCUAUCUUGAAUAUUGUGGAGGUAAGCGGAAUAUGUCAUGUAGCGGUGAAAUGCUUAGAUAUGACAUAGAACACCUAUUGCGAAGGCAGCUUACUACGCAUAUAUUGACGCUGAGGCACGAAAGCGUGGGGAUCAAACAGGAUUAGAUACCCUGGUAGUCCACGCCCUAAACUAUANAUACUACGACAUUAGUAGAUACACAUAAGUAGUNUGAGAGAAGACAUUAAGUAAUACCACCUACGGUAAGGUAACGUACCGUUCGAAGAGUUAGAAACGUAACAAAGGAAAGUUAGACGGCGUUGAGACGNGCCGACGGACGACGACGAGGGAGGAGGAG
rnacentral:rRNA from 1 species